AUCUAUACCUAGGAAUAAGUAGGAAUUCUACAUAAUUGCACGUGCCGCAUCAUCUUUCUUUUUCCUGGAAAAUCUGGUUAUUUAACGCAGUGCAUUUUUAUAUUAUAAUUGACAUCACUUUUAUUUUUAUACAAUGUGGUACAAGUAUUACAAGCCAUAGACUGCAGGACUACAAAGAGUGAAAUAGCUAUUCGAACAUCAUCACAAAUUAAGAUCAGAGGAUGAACCUCAGAUGAUGAACCAACUUACUUUUUAUUUGAUUUUUUUUUCAAGUUAAAAAUAAUGAGAUCAAAGGAGGAGGGAAAAAAAAAAUUAUUGCACCGAUGUCAGUUGCCAAGUUAUUAAGAUCAAGACCGAACAAGGAAAAACAAGCAACACAUGGAAAAAAAGAAGUGGAAACAAUUAAAGCAACCCUCUCAACUUUACAAUAAGGUUUAUUUAUUUUCUAAUUAGAGUUUGAAUGUUAUUUCGUAUAUGAUUAAAGUACACAUUUAUUAAAAAUUGAUGAAUCCUUAAUUCACGUUUGCUAGACCUUCAACGACAAAAGGCGUUAAAGGAUAGGCAAAACAAUAAUCUCCAUAGAGUUGAUUUAGAGCAUGAUGAGAGGCAACUUGUUGAGAACAAUGAUAAUAAUGCUUUAGAAGAUCAAGAAGGCGGUAACGAUCUAGACGAGACAAGAAACUAUGGUUUAGAAGAUCAAGAAAAUAAUAUCAUUUCAAACACAUUGAGAAAUCAUGAUGAGGAGACACUUGCUGACAUGGAGGGGGAAGAGGAUAAUUCUGCAAACAAGAAAAAGAAGAAAACAUACAAGACUGCCACUCCUAGAGGUCCUACAAGAAAUCUUCAAAUGGAAAAAAUGAGACCCGGUGAGAAGAAAAAAGUGGAUUUCAACAUAAAAGGCCAACCUAUUGGUGUGAAUAGAGCUUGUCUUGCAAGUUAUUGUGGCUCCCUUGUUAGAGAUCCUCUUAAUGCCCCACUUCAAAAGUUGAAAGUAUUUUAAGAAAUUCCAGAAGAGAAUAAGGAGAAGAUGUGGGAUCUUGUUCCGGAAAAAUUCGAUAUUGGACUUGAGGAUGAUCAAGAUGAAGGGGAAUGUGAAAAAAUAAAAAAUAAAGGAAAACAUACAUCACGGGGUCUUUGAAUAAAAAAUACAGGAAUUAUCGUGCAAGACUGAAAGCUAAUUAUUAUGAUAUUGAGAGCACAGACGAGGAAAGGCUUAAAGAAGAAAACAGGCCACCAAAUGUUGACAAAGAUGACUGGGAAUGGCUUGUUGAGUACUUUGGAUCAGACGAGUUUAAGGGUAAGAGUACAAGAAAUACCGAAAAUCGAUCUUACCAAGAUGCCGGACACACUGCUGGUACAAAGAGUUUUGCUCAAAAAGUUGAAGACAUGUUCGAACGUGACAAAGUAAUGCCGACCAUGCUGAAAUUGUACGAGAAAACUCAUUCAAAAAAUGAUAAGACACCGGUUACUAAAGUGGCAAAAGAAACAAUGUAAAAAAUGAAAGAGCUUUUAGUGCAACGUGAGACGGGAGAAAUAAAGAUGACAGAUGAAGAAAUCUAUGCAAACGUUAAACCCAUUGGUAACGCGGUCGUGAUCGUGGCAAGGGAGUAAGCCCCUCUAUUACAUCAUUAUAUGGGUCAUUCAGUGAAGGAGAAAAACUGCGAAAAGAAGCUAAUGAGGCAAAGAUUGAGGCAAAGGAGGCCAAUGAGAAAAAUGAAGCACUUACUAAAGAGAUGAAAGUCAUGAAAAAAAAUAUGGAACUUAUGAAAGGGUUUAUGGGAAAAAUAUUUGAUCGUUUGAGUUUCGAUAUGGAUGAGUUGUAUGCGGAAGUGGAUGGGGAUGGGGAUGAGGAUGGGGAUGAGGAUGAGGAUGAGGAUGAGGAUGUGGACGAAGAGCAUGGUGAGGUGUUACGCUGAUCUGUUGCUGCUGUUACGCUGAUCUGCUACUGCUCUGCUGCUGCUGUACGCUGUAAACUGCUACUGCUGUUGCUGUUGCUGUAACUGCUGUUGCUGAUGCUGUAACUGUUGCUGUAAGCUGCUGCUGUUGCUGUAACUGCUGUAAGUUGCUGCUGCUGCUAAUGCUGUAAGCUGCUGCUGCUGUAAGCUGCUGUAAGCUGCUGCUGUAUGCUACUGUCUUGCUGCUGUUUUUCCGUUUUGUUAGACUUUUGGUUUGACUUUUCAGUGACUUUUUUUUAUGCACCAAUCUAGGGAAAUUUAAACCGUCGGGAGUGAUAGUAAUAUCGGAAUAUAGCAAUCAGACAUCUUCUAAGACAUGUUAUUUUUGUGGUUUUUGUUUGUUUUGGGCUUUCUCGUUGUUGCAAGCUCUAAGGUGUUUUUUUGUUUGAGAUUGGACAGCAAUUGAUGUUCUUAUUGUUAAUAAUAUUAUUGAA